UACGUAGGGUGCGAGCGUUAAUCGGAAUUACUGGGCGUAAAGCGAGCGUAGUCGGUUAUUUAAGUCGGAUGUGAAAUCCCCGGGCUCAACCUGGGAAUUGCAUUCGAUACUGGAUAGCUAGAGUUCGGCAGAGGGAAGCGGAAUUUCGGGUGUAGCGGUGAAAUGCGUAGAUAUCUGGAGGAACACCGGUGGCGAAGGCGGCAUCCUGGACCGGUAUUGACGCUGAGGCGCGAAAGCCAGGGGAGCAAAGCGGG
rnacentral:rRNA from 1 species